rnacentral:rRNA from 1 species
UAGUCCACGCCGUAAACGAUGUCAACUAGCCGUCGGGCUCAUUAUAAGGGUUUGGUGGCGAAGCUAACGCGAUAAGUUGACCGCCUGGGGAGUACGCCGGCAACGGUAAAACUCAAAGGAAUUGACGGGGGCCCGCACAAGCGGUGGAGCAUGUGGUUUAAUUCGACGAUACGCGAGGAACCUUACCAGGGCUUAAAUGUAGGAUGCAUUGUUUAGAGAUAGACAUUUCUUCGGACUUCUUACAAGGUGCUGCAUGGUUGUCGUCAGCUCGUGCCGUGAGGUGUCAGGUUAAGUCCUAUAACGAGCGCAACCCCUAUUUUUAGUUGCUAACAGGUUAAGCUGAGGACUCUAGAGAGACUGCCGGUGCAAACCGCGAGGAAGGUGGGGAUGACGUCAAAUCAUCACGGCCCUUACGUCCUGGGCUACACACGUGCUACAAUGGUAAUGACAGAGGGCAGCUACCUGGCGACAGGAUGCGAAUCUUUAAACAUUAUCACAGUUCGGAUUGGAGU